AGCAUUCAACCAGACAUGCCCCUUUGCAUGAUACCAGUGUACCAUAAUUAAGAAAGUGUUGUAUUGCAAUCACCUUUCAAAUAGAAUCCAUGUGUCAUGUGAAAAAAAAAUGCAUUUAUUUGAUAAGCGGCUUUAGAUGCCACUUAACCUGAUUGGUGCUCUACCUCUACCUCAUCUCUUGCCCAAAGAAUUUUGGAUUGCAAACCAAAGGCUGUCAUAACCUGCAAUGCUGUUCGCCGAGGUUCUAAAGUCAUACUUCUAAAAGAUAUUGUUGAUGCAGCAUUGGUCGAAUCAACCAAAAAUGGGGUCUCUAUAGAUACGUUAAGUUAAAACUCUCAAUUCUUUUGGCGCAUAAUCUCCUACUUUAUUUUAUUUUUAUUUCUUCAUGCACCUGCUGCAUUUGAAUGAGUCAAGUUGAGAUUUCUGUAAAUGGACAAAAGCUGCAUUUAAACCAUAGAAGUAGAAGUCUCUAACAAGGUUGUCACAUUCAUACCUUGGCAGGCAUAUCUAUUUAAUGUCUACUGGGAAGAUAUUGGGACCAUAAAGCCCUUUUUUGAUGCUAACUUGGCUCUCACAUAUUAGCCUCCCAAGUUUUAAUUUUAUGAUCUGCUGAUGCCAAUCUUCACAUCUCCUAGGUUUCUACCACCAACGAAGAUAGAAAAAUGCUAGAUUUUAGACUAAGGGAAUGCAAUGUUGAACAUUCCAUAGUUGGGACACGCUCAAGACUGAAGUAUGGGUCUAAACUGAGGGUAAUGCAUGUCUCAUUCAUGACGC